CAGCACAGUGCCUGCAGACAUGCUGUCACUGCUCCACGCAUCAACGCUGGCAGUCCUUGGGGCUUUGUGUGUAUAUGGUGCAGGUCACCUAGAGCAACCUCAAAUUUCCAGUACUAAAACGCUGUCAAAAACAGCCCGCCUGGAAUGUGUGGUGUCUGGAGUAACAAUUUCUGCAACAUCUGUAUAUUGGUAUCGAGAAAGACCUGGUGAAGUCGUACAGUUCCUGGUGUCCAUUUCAUAUGACGGCACUGUCAGAAAGGAAUCCGGCGUUCCAUCAGGCAAAUUUGAGGUGGAUAGGGUACCUGAAACAUCUACAUCCACUCUCACCAUUCACAAUGUAGAGAAACAGGACAUAGCUACCUACUACUGUGCCUUGUGGGAGUUGGGCAAAAAAAUCAAGGUAUUUGGUCCCGGAACAAAGCUCAUCAUUACAGAUAAACAUCUUGAUGCAGAUGUUUCCCCCAAGCCCACUAUUUUUCUUCCUUCAAUUGCUGAAACAAACCUCCAUAAGGCUGGAACCUACCUUUGUCUUCUUGAGACAUUUUUCCCGGAUGUUAUUAAGAUACAUUGGCAAGAAAAGAAGAGCAACACAAUUCUGGGAUCACAGGAGGGGAACACCAUGAAGACUAACGACACAUACAUGAAAUUUAGCUGGUUAACGGUGCCAGAAAAGUCACUGGACAAAGAACACAGAUGUAUCGUCAGACAUGAGAAUAAUAAAAACGGAGUUGAUCAAGAAAUUAUCUUUCCUCCAAUAAAGACAGAUGUCAUCACAAUGGAUCCCAAAGACAAUUGUUCAAAAGAUGCAAAUUAUGCACUACUGCUGCAGCUCACAAAUACCUCUGCAUGUUACACGUACCUGCUCCUGUUCCUCAAGAGUGUGGUCUAUUUUGCCAUCAUCGCCUUCUGUCUGCUUAGAAGAACGGCUGUCUGCUGCAAUGGAGUGAAAUCGUAACAGACGGUGGCACAAGG